ACCCAGCCUGCCCAGUGUUCAGACUACCUGUUCCUACGGCUACAGUUGAACAGUAGUCUGCACAUUGGUUAGGCCAGGCU
rnacentral:pre_miRNA from 1 species